rnacentral:rRNA from 1 species
CCUACGGGGGGCAGCAGUGGGGAAUAUUGGACAAUGGGCGAAAGCCUGAUCCAGCCAUGCCGCGUGUGUGAAGAAGGCCUUCGGGUUGUAAAGCACUUUCAGUGGGGAAGAAAGCCUUGGGGCUAAUACCCUCGAGGAAGGACAUCACCCACAGAAGAAGCACCGGCUAACUCCGUGCCAGCAGCCGCGGUAAUACGGAGGGUGCGAGCGUUAAUCGGAAUUACUGGGCGUAAAGCGCGCGUAGGCGGUCUGAUAAGCCGGUUGUGAAAGCCCCGGGCUCAACCUGGGAACGGCAUCCGGAACUGUCAGGCUAGAGUGCAGGAGAGGAAGGUAGAAUUCCCGGUGUAGCGGUGAAAUGCGUAGAGAUCGGGAGGAAUACCAGUGGCGAAGGCGACCUUCUGGACUGACACUGACGCUGAGGUGCGAAAGCGUGGGUAGCAAACAGGAUUAGAUACCCCAGUAGUC